AGAGUUGGUUUGGGAAUAAGUAUCUUCUAAAAAGAGAUUUAUCUUAAAAAUGAAAGUCCUGAAAAAUUAGUUUAUCAAGAGUUUAUAAAGUCAAAUAUUCCAUAGACAUAGACUGGAAUAGGUAAACUCAUGAAAGUCGUAUCCUUUCAGUAUACCAGUAUAACUUCAAUAUUACAUGAGUAACACUGAGAGAAUGCCAUUAGAUUUGUUCCCCCUUAAUAUUGGAUUUUCGUUUUACAUCUUUGGGAACAACUACAUUAAGAACCUUAUUAAUCAGUAUAUCAGUAAGGAUUAGGUGUUUGCUUUCCGAAAGAAUGUUCCAGUGAGGUGAUCAGAGAGGUUAUUUUCUAUCUAACUUGUUUAUGCCCUGUACCUCUUGGGCAUACUUUGUCUAUAGAAGAAAUAUUUUGACCUUUAGGUACAUUUUGGGCCAGUAGUCAAGUAAUCCUAGGACUGAUUUAAAAAUCUUAGACUAAUUUAAGGUUUGCCUUUUAUACCUAUUUUGAAAGCCUUUACAUUUCUGUCAGGUAAUUUUUCCCAUGCC
rnacentral:lncRNA from 1 species